AUGUCCUCGCCUCCGACGCCGUCGCCCCCAACCCAGGCGACCCCUUCCUCCAACUUGCGCCGGACGUCACCCGGAGUUGAGAGGAGAGGAGAGGCAGAUCUCACCACCACUGGUGACCUCCCUCCCUCCCUCCUCAGAUGGACGGACGAGGUAACACCGCCCAAAACCCUAGCCCCGCCCCUCACCCACCCACAUGGAUGGACGGAUGGGGACGGGGAGCAGGCCAGGCGGCGGCCAGAUCCACCACGGCUGCCGCGGUUCAUCUGGAUCCGCGCCCUCCCCAGUUGCUCGCGCGCUAGGAGAAGAGGAGGUGGCAGCGGCUACUGCCGUUCUCGUGCGGCCGGGCAGCUCGUCUGCUCCGACCCCGUCAAGGUGCCCUCCUCCCCUUCUCGAUGCGAUGCUGCUUGUGUUGCUCUCUUCAUGAAGCUCCUCUCUGCUGCAGUCUUGGAGGAGAUGCAAUAG
rnacentral:rRNA from 1 species